rnacentral:rRNA from 1 species
GACCUCAAAUCAGGUAGGACUACCCGCUGAACUUAAGCUU